CAGCAGCCACGGGAAUACGAAGGGUGCAAGCGUUAAUCGGAAUUACUGGGCGUAAAGCGUGCGUAGGCGGUGAGUUAAGUCUGCUGUGAAAUCCCCGGGCUCAACUUGGGAAUGGCAGUGGAUACUGGCUCGCUAGAGUGUGUCAGAGGAUGGUGGAAUUCCCGGUGUAGCGGUGAAAUGCGUAGAGAUCGGGAGGAACAUCAGUGGCGAAGGCGGCCAUCUGGGACAACACUGACGCUGAGGCACGAAAGCGUGGGGAGCAAACAGGAUUAGAUACCCCCGUAGUCCCUGUCUCUUAUAC
rnacentral:rRNA from 1 species